rnacentral:rRNA from 1 species
GACGAACGCUGGCGGCGUGCUUAACACAUGCAAGUCGAACGGAAAGGCCCUGCUUUUGUGGGGUGCCCGAGUGGCGAACGGGUGAGUAACACGUGAGUAACCUGCCCUUGACUUUGGGAUAACUUCAGGAAACUGGGGCUAAUACCGGAUAGGAGCUCCUGCUGCAUGGUGGGGGUUGGAAAGUUUCGGCGGUUGGGGAUGGACUCGCGGCUUAUCAGCUUGUUGGUGGGGUAGUGGCUUGCCAAGGCUUUGACGGGUAGCCGGCCUGAGAGGGUGACCGGCCACAUUGGGACUGAGAUACGGCCCAGACUCCUACGGGAGGCAGCAGUGGGGAAUAUUGCACAAUGGGCGGAAGCCUGAUGCAGCAACGCCGCGUGCGGGAUGACGGCCUUCGGGUUGUAAACCGCCUUCGCCUGUGACGAAGCGUGAGUGACGGUAAUGGGUAAAGAAGCACCGGCUAACUACGUG